rnacentral:lncRNA from 1 species
UUUUUGCCAUUUAUCCACUGCAAAGGUUAAAAAAUUUAGAGCGCCAAGAAAAAUCGUGGUCUUCCCUUACAACCCAGUAUGCACCAACUGGUUUAAAAUAUCUUUUCUAACCAGACAGAUUUUUUUUUAAAAAAAUUGGAGUUUAAAUAUCGGAAAGUGUAGUCUUUUGAAAAGAUCAACGCAAGCAACAUCAAGGAGGGAUUUUGAACAAGAUUAGAUUGAGAAAUGUUGUUACCUAAGGAUCAUUGUGCACAUGAUCAUCACUAAAGUAGAGAGUGGUUGUGCAUAUGACCAUCGUUUCUGUAGGCCAUGCACUAAAGUAGAGUGAUUGUAAAGACCUAGCCUGAUCAUUUGUUUCAAAGCACAUACCAGCAAGCAAGCAACCUAUCAGGAAAUUUUCAGAUACUAGUGAAUUUGGUAAGAAUCCUUGGAACUACGUCUCUUAAACUUGGUUUC